UCAAAAAAUUUCUAUAUGUGAUACGGCACCAAUGUUAGGGUUUUCCAAAAUGCUGACACACCGAGCUCAAAAGGUUCGCCAUCACUGCUCUAGUACUUCUGUGAUCUAAUAUGUAAAAUCUGCUGGAGGAUGAUAAAAUGUCCUCCAUCCUCAGCAUUCUUAGAGUCCAAAUUGCAAUCAUAUCAUAAAGAAUUUGGUCCCCACUGGCUAAUUGGAUUCACAUUCUUCAAGAUUGGAAUAUGAAUAUUUGUUUGAGAGGGUUUAUUGCUGUUCUUAUUAUGUUGAACCAUGGCUAACCAAUAUCAAGGCAGUUCUGUCCGGGAUUUAGUCAGUUAACAGAAUUCAUUAAGUGUAUUUGGUAUAAUGUAGAUAAAAUAUCUAAAUGAAGGACUAAAUUUCUGACACAACUGAUUAGAUUUUUUGGCAUUCUAUAGACACAUCCCUAUGGUUGUCUGCUGGAAUGACUGCAAGUUAGAAUCAAGUUAUUUGAAAUGCUUGGCAUAAUUUUUGAUAUGAAAUUUGUGUACUGAAAUGUGGGAUGGAGAGGGGGUUCCAAAAUACAAAUGUACAAGCAGAUGCAGAUGAUAUACAUUUAAAAAUGGGGAUUUGGUGGAAGUAAAAUAGCCAUAUGGAGCCAAUGAACCCAGAUUUGUAUAUCUUGGAAACAAAUGUAUUAAAACAAAAAAUGGCUGUGAUAAUCUUUGAAGUUGGAGCUCCAUAUAGGACUAUCAGUGAUCAAAUAAAUUCACCCCUGAAUAAUUUGAACAUAGUUCACAAGAAAGAGAAAUUGAUAAUUCAAUAAUUAUAUGACUGAUAGGAUGAAUAUAGCAUCAAACUUACAAACUCAAAUUAAUGGAUAAAAUGAUCAUUGUAGUUGGUCUGAGCCAAAUAUAUGUAGACCCAUUUGCAGAAAGCAUAUAAAAGUAUGGGAUUUAUACAAUGGAUAUGCCAAGCAUUCAUUGGGGCAUUGAAUCCUGACAGGCUGUGCUAGAAAUACUUAAUAAUAUACACAGAUUUCAUGAAAUCUUUAAUCAGUAGAUGAAAUUAAAUUCUGGUAUAAAAUGGCACACCUUUGAUCAGGAUGACAUAAUCAAAGAAAUGUAGUGAUUUGGAGAAAUGGCAAACUAUCAUUAACAGUAAAAGUAACAUUGUGGCUGUUGUAUUUACAGAAUAACUGUGUCAUUUAUCAGUAUUUUUCAGAUUAUAGGCUAAUGCUAAGAAAGAAAGAGAAUUAAUUUUAUAGAUGACCCAUAGAAUUUACAGACUACGAACUGAUUUCUAUUGAGAAACAUACUUACUGAUGGACUAACUUAAUAUAUGGGUUACCAGAACUACAACAACUUAUUUCUCUCUAGUUAAAGUAUUAAUCUGCUAUAUAUUCAUUCUAAGUUAUGAAUUUGUUUUGGAUUUUGUAUUUUCUCUUAUAUCCAACUACGUGAAUUGGAGUAGUGCCUCAAGUGUAUCAGAAUAAAUGCUGACUGUGUCUAUCCAAUGCCAACAUUUUCAGAUGAAAAGUAAAAGAUUCAGUAACUCAUCUGGAUGUGACUUCCUGUGUGAUCCUAAAUCUCUGAAUGCUGAAUAUAUUAGAUGGCUAACUAUUGAUUUUCAUUCCUUAAUCACCUAUUUAGCAUUGCAGUGCUAUUUCAGACAUAAUUCUGUUUCAUAAAAUAUACUGGAUUACAAGUCUAAGACAGUUCUAGUUCUAUGUGAAAGAGACAUUGGCUGUUUUAGAUGACAAUGUGGAUAGGUGGAUUAAAACAGUAUCUGUGAACUUUUAAUAGUGGAAUCUUUUAUUUUUAUAGCUCAGUACUGUAAUUAGCACUAAUUGCAGCAGAGGCUGAAAUAUUAUCAACACAUAGAGUAGGGUGAGCUGGCCAGACUUAGAGAGUGAUGAAAACAUAUACUUGUUUACUUAGGGAACAUUUUCUGUCAUGUGUAAAGUCUUAAACUUUCCCGAAUUAUUUGUUCAUCUGGAUUAUGUACCAUAGUGUUAAUGUCCAAGUGAUGAAGGAUAAAAGGUACUGAAAGAUGGCCUAUUUUUCAUCAAUAAAGAUUUAUUUCCAAAA